CAUAUAACACCCAGUGUCAGUCACAGAGACUGAAAAAUCAAUUAGGAAUUAUGGUGGUAUGUUAGUUUUCUUAUCUAAAAUAGGUAUAGACUCAAAAAAUGAUUCAGAAAAAAGGCAAACAACCCAACCAAAAAAGGUGAAGUGUAUGCGGAAGACGUUCACAUGAAAAGAAUACAUAGGAAAAGAUAUAUUAGGAGGCAUAGAAGCAAGGGGAUAGCCUGUCUCCCCUUUUAAACUUGGAAGGUGAAGUGAACUUGCCCAAGGGCACCUAGUUGGGAAGUGGGUGAUCUGGAUUCUGAACCUAGCUCUGGUCUCAGAGCCCAGCUCAUAACCACAAACCCACAAGUUCCCUUUGAGGCUCAGCCUCCUGUGGAAAAGGAGUGGUGGCAGGGCAGGCAAAGGCAGGGGAUCAUCAGUCUCCAUAUUUACCUCCAGGGUUGUUGGAGAACAAAAUGGUCUUUUGUUGAGAUGAAGUGAGUAUGUGGAAAUGAUGAGGUUGACCUGAUUCACACGUAGGAACAAAGUUCACAAAUGACCAGCUUUCUUCAAGGCGCUUUCCUGUUUAGAAUGUUUGCCAAAAAUGUGUCUCUAUAUAAAGGGUUUAGAAUGAAGAGAUACGGGAGUCUUUACUCUGCAUUACAGUACAGCUGGAGCAGCCCUGCCAGAGGCCAGUAUUCUAACAACCCUGGAAUCUCGGGAACUGGUGCUCAUUCUGAUUUCAUGGCCAAAUGUGUCAGAUGUGGUCAUUACUCUGGAAACCCUAAAUUAAACCGGAUCAACAGAUGAGAUCAGAUCUUGGGAACACAAGAGAUCCAGGUUUCGUUCUGGUAUCAUUUCCCUUCAGUAUGAAGAACUCCCUUUGGCAUUUCUUGUAGAAUACUUCGGCUGACAGUAACUUCUUUUAAUUUUUCUUCAUCUGAGGAUUUUUUUUUUUACCUCAUUCCUCUGUGUAGGUGGCUUUUCCAUAAUUCACCUGCUUUUAUUUUUUUCAGUGUCCUCAGAUAGUUGCUUUUGCAUUUGGUCUAGUUUUUAGUUGUAAUCAGAGGGAAAAACAUACUGCUAUGCCAAACUAGAAUAAAAAUAUAUCUUUUAUACCAUUUCUAUGGCAAAGUAGGUUACUAAAUUAAAAUCACAGGGGUAUAUGGAGUUCAUACAUGGGCAUGUUUCCAGAUGCCCCAAAAUAUGGUUUUUCAACAGAUACAUAAUAAUUUCAGAUGGUGGUAAAUUCAAGAAAUAUUUUUUUUUUUUUUACUCAAUUAUAUAUCACUGGUAAGUGUUCGCUGAUAUUUCCUAUGAUUGUAAUUGUUUCAGUUCCUUUGAACUCCUGGUAGUACCCAACUUGCAUUGUCAUGGCUUGUCCACUGUUGCUUAACUUAGUGCCUUAUUUCUGUGGAGAUUUAAACCAUGAGCUCCAGCAGAGUAGUGACCCCCAUCCACCCUAUUUAGGGCUGUAUCUCCCCACCCCGGCACACAAUAGAUGCUCAAUAAACAUUUUUUGAAUGAAUGA